AUUCACACAUAUGUGAAUGGGAUUCACGCAUAUGUGAAUGUGACUUACAGAUGUGUGACAAAUAUUAACAUAUGUGUGAAAUACAAUCACAUAUAUGUGAUUGUGAUUCACAUAUAUGUGAAU
rnacentral:miRNA from 1 species